GAUGAACGCUGGCGGCGUGCCUAAUACAUGCAAGUCGAGCGAACAGACGAGGAGCUUGCUCCUCUGACGUUAGCGGCGGACGGGUGAGUAACACGUGGAUAACCUACCUAUAAGACUGGGAUAACUUCGGGAAACCGGAGCUAAUACCGGAUAAUAUAUUGAACCGCAUGGUUCACUAGUGAAAGACGGUUUUGCUGUCACUUAUAGAUGGAUCCGCGCCGCAUUAGCUAGUUGGUAAGGUAACGGCUUACCAAGGCAACGAUGCGUAGCCGACCUGAGAGGGUGAUCGGCCACACUGGAACUGAGACACGGUCCAGACUCCUACGGGAGGCAGCAGUAGGGAAUCGUCCGCAAUGGGCGAAAGCCUGACGGAGCAACGCCGCGUGAGUGAUGAAGGUCUUCGGAUCGUAAAACUCUGUUAUUAGGGAAGAACAAAUGUGUAAGUAACUAUGCACGUCUUGACGGUACCUAAUCAGAAAGCCACGGCUAACUACGUG
rnacentral:rRNA from 1 species